UAAUACAUGCAAGUCGAACGCGUUGGCCCAAUUGAUUGACGGUGCUUGCACCUGAUUGAUUUUGGUCGCCAACGAGUGGCGGACGGGUGAGUAACACGUAGGUAACCUGCCCAGAAGCGGGGGACAACAUUUGGAAACAGAUGCUAAUACCGCAUAACAGCGUUGUUCGCAUGAACAACGCUUAAAAGAUGGCUUCUCGCUAUCACUUCUGGAUGGACCUGCGGUGCAUUAGCUUGUUGGUGGGGUAACGGCCUACCAAGGCGAUGAUGCAUAGCCGAGUUGAGAGACUGAUCGGCCACAAUGGGACUGAGACACGGCCCAUACUCCUACGGGAGGCAGCAGUAGGGAAUCUUCCACAAUGGGCGCARSCCUGAUGGAGCAACACCGCGUGAGUGAAGAAGGGUUUCGGCUCGUAAAGCUCUGUUGUUAAAGAAGAACACGUAUGAGAGUAACUGUUCAUACGUUGACGGUAUUUAACCAGAAAGUCACGGCUAACUACGUGCCAGCAGCCGCGGUAAUACGUAGGUGGCAAGCGUUAUCCGGAUUUAUUGGGCGUAAAGAGAGUGCAGGCGGUUUUCUAAGUCUGAUGUGAAAGCCUUCGGCUUAACCGGAGAAGUGCAUCGGAAACUGGAUAACUUGAGUGCAGAAGAGGGUAGUGGAACUCCAUGUGUAGCGGUGGAAUGCGUAGAUAUAUGGAAGAACACCAGUGGCGAAGGCGGCUACCUGGUCUGCAACUGACGCUGAGACUCGAAAGCAUGGGUAGCGAACAGGAUUAGAUACCCUGGUAGUCCAUGCCGUA
rnacentral:rRNA from 1 species